rnacentral:sRNA from 1 species
CUUGCUUCGUUAGCGUUUGUAUCACCCAAUGGCAACCAUCAUAGGGGUUCUGGAUCUACAUCGUUAUGGGAGUAUCCUCAUUUAGCGGAAGGGAAUGUCAAUGGCACCAAAAGCUUCCAUGGUGACUCGCAGUAUCUGAUUGAGUCCGUUACGAAAGUGUUCUCCAGCCUCAAUGACUGAAACCAGUGAAACCAGAAGCCUGGGUUAAACCCCCUCGGUGAUGACAUUCUUACAGAGCAUAUUGAGGGGUAAUUCAAUCCAUCAAGAUCCUACAGCUUCUGAACAUAUCUAGUCACAUGUUAGCUGUGUGUACAUAACAUAUCUUCGGGUGUCAAAUACCUACCAGAGCUUAGAACAGACAGCUCGCCAAUCCGUUGGGACGAUCUAUUAUUCCUACCAUAUUUGUCAUAACUUCUAACUAGGCUAGAAACAAAUAAUGGCUUUGAAUUUUUA